AACCAAGGGAUUAAGUUGUAUUUAACGGUAAAAAGACAGUUAGAUGAUGACAUAUUAUAAGUUUAUUCAUUAUGCUAUUAGGAGGUAGAAUUCGAAUAUAGCUGAAUAUACCUAAUAAAACAAAUGUAUUGAAGCUGUGAUAACUUUGAGGGAAACUAGGAUUAGAUACCCUAUUAUUCAUAGAGAUAAAUAAGAAAAUUUUCUACCAGAGUACUAAGAACAAAAAAUUUAAAACUCAAAGGGCUUGGCGGUGUUUUAGACUACUUAGGGGAACCUGUCUCAUAAUCGACAAUCCACGUUAAACCUGACCUUAUCUUGCGCUCAGUUUGUAUACCGUCGUCGCCAGGUAACUUUUAAAAUAUCAGAAGUUAGCUAAUAAAUAUUUUAAUUAAGACGUCAGAUCAAGGUGCAGCUAACGAAAAGGUGCAGAUGGGUUACAAUUAUAAUAUUAAUAAGAACCGACAAUAAACUUUAAAGGUGAUUAGCAAGGAGGACUUAAAAGUAAAAUAGAUUAUAUAAAUAUCUUGAAUAAAGCUCUGAAACGUGC
rnacentral:rRNA from 1 species